GGUUGCGGCCUGUUUGGCGUGUAUGUACUGUACAUAUAGAAUCUCGAACAACCCUAAAAAUCCUAGGGAUUCCCUCCUGUGGCUGUGUGUGCUGUGUGGCGGCGCGGCCGGCCUCCGAACUCGCUCGCGCGGCGCCUCCCCCGGUCCCCCCUACGCCCUGCAGCGCAAGAAGAUCGAGUUUGGACAAGGAGGAAGGAUUGACACAUUUUUCUGCCGCUUGGAGGAGAGAAACAAGGGGACAGUGACCCGAGGUGAUCUGAGUAUUUUCAACAAGCAAUGGAUCAGGGCCAAGCAAUGCAGGCGGAUCAUGAUGGUUUGUCAGCCAUCGUGGAGGCUUCUGAAACCCAUGUAAACCACCUGUACAUGAACCGGGGUACUUCCAUUGACUUGUAUAAGUUCCGCAAGUACAGUAACCAACAAGGAUGGAAACAUGGGCACAUCUUUCAUGGAAGCAAUAGGGAAGAUCUUUCCUUCGAGGGGGGAAUGAUACAAGGUAUCAAGGCUCGAGAUAACACUAAUUCAAGGGAAGCUAUGUUUCUAGUCGAGGCAGCAAAUCAGUGGGUGAGUGUAGAGGAUACGAUGGUGAGAAGUUCAACAACGCUGAAUCAUAUUGGAAUUCUAAAACCCUUUGUUGGAGGCUUCAAUACCCAGAUAUCUGAAGUCGUCUGCGGAUUUACUUCGAUUAUUAAUUCUUCUCUGACCGGUUGGUUAACGAGCAAACAACCAUCAGACAAAAGGACAUCUAUCCCUGUUGAAGUGCAGCAGUUGAUCAGUUACUAAGGGCCAAGACAGCAUCAUAGUUUGUGUGUGUGAUAUUUAUGUGAUGACUGCAGCAUCUUUGUGUACCGCACACAAGACUGCGUACCUGGCCAUUGAGAAGAUUUGGAGUGCAGGGUCUACAUCGGUUGAAUUGGCCAAUCCUGCGAGCUAGCAUAUGAUUGAUGAUAGAAUAAAAAUCGACCCAUUGCGCACUCGUACGAGGCUGGCGGGAGAAAACAACAUGAGGCCACUUCGGGUUGCGUUUGGCGAGAUGAUAAAGAACGCGAUUCACAGCAGAUGGGAGGAUGAUGAGUUGCUAGAUUUUAUUGAUCUUCUCGGGUAUCAAACAGUAGGAGUUGGAGAUGUCUUGGGCCACCCUGUCCUCCUUUCGCCUCAUAGGCGGCAGCUCAUGUACCACAAAUUCCAUUCAGAGAUACCUACCGAUAAUCAAAGAAAUUGGCUGCGAGCAAAUGCUGACCCUGGAGCUAACUGGAAACAAGUUGCUUCAAACUUUGACCCAACGUUAAAGAGCAUAAUUGCCUAUCAAGUACGACAAGUUAUGAGGCCGAGUAUUAUGAGUUCCAGUGAUGAUGAUUUGGUGCAGCACCCUAGCGGCUUCUCACAAAAUGUAUUCGGAGCUUUACAUUUCUCAAGUGUGGUAACGGCGCAUUACCACCAGCAUUUCAAGAGAUUUACACAGGGCAACUGGAGAGAGGAAAUUAUCGGCCGAGUCGAUUUGCAGCUCAAGACAGUGUUACCCCGUCUGCUCACAAAGCGUUACAACGCGAAGUUCAUCCGCUGAUGAUUAGUGGAUGUAUUUGCGUGUUCAUUUGUUGUGUCGAGUUAUGUUUGGAUCUCUCUCCUAGCUUUGUUGGGUACUACUGAAUUGUGUUUGCAUCUCUCCCGUACCACUGGAUUUGUUUAAACUAUGUUUCUUUGUAUCUCUCCCCUUGUUGGAGUACUAAAUUUGACUUUUAACUAAAUUAACUAGACAUCGUUUCUGUCCA